rnacentral:misc_RNA from 1 species
AAAGCACUUUCUGCAGCUCUCAAAUUGUCAGCUGCCAUAAAAGUGGUCAAUUCAAAAACCUUAAUAAAAGAAAAAUGAAAAAAAUGUGGAAGACAUAUUAACAGGCAAAGACAUUAAAUGAAAAGACUACAGACUGUAAACCAGAUUCAUAAACAUGCAAAAUGAUGAUGAAGAAUGGCCUAUAACACAUAAAAAGGUUAAAGUCCAUGAAAACAAGACUGGAUUCUGAUAAAGUAUUGAAGAGGAUAGAAAAUGAUUUUUUCUUUUUUUUUAAUUACCAACUUCCAAGUUAUGCACAUUCUUGAGCUGGAAGAACAGAGAAAGGAACCAAAUCAGAUUAUGAUGUAGAAGCAACUAUAUUCCUUCACUCACUACCAAAAUCAUUAUUUGACGAUAAAUCUUGGGUUCAACUUGACAAACCAGAGCUCCAGGGAAUAAAUCCACCAGCCAUGACCAAGAAACUAGGGAAAGAUAAAUAGAAAGGGAAAAAAAAUAGAAAGAGCAAAUAUAUUUCUCUAUUUCAAGAAAAUAUUCCUAAAGAAAAUUAGAAGUACCAAAAGCGUUGCAACUUAAGACACAAAUUUGAAAACAAUGGUGUAACACCAGAGAUUCAGAAAGCAUAACAAAUUUGAGUUUUGUGUGGAAUUCAGGAAGAAAAACAGAACAUGGAAUACCUGUCUGAUUUAUCAGUUCCAUUGGAUACAGGUCCCUGAGGAUAGAAAAUUUGAGUUUUUUUUUCCCUUCUUUUCCAAUUAAACUAAAGACCAAGUAUAAACCAACCAAACUGAAAGAAUGCAUAUUCUGAGCUUGUUGAGUCACUGUCUCUGCUUGCUAAUUCCCCACAAUACUCUUUUGGACAUUGAAAAGGCCAUAAGGUAACCUAAAUAUUAGAACAGAUUUAA